GACGAACGCUGGCGGCGUGCUUAACACAUGCAAGUCGAACGGAAAGGCCCUGCUUUUGUGGGGUGCUCGAGUUGCGAACGGGUGAGUAACACGUGAGUAACCUGCCCUUGACUUUGGGAUAACUUCAGGAAACUGGGGCUAAUACCGGAUAGGAGCUCCUGCUGCAUGGUGGGGGUUGGAAAGUUUCGGCGGUUGGGGAUGGACUCGCGUCUUAUCAGCUUGUUGGUGGGGUAGUGGCUUACCAAGGCUUGGACGGGUAGCAGGCCUGAGAGGGUGACCGGCAACAUUGGGACUGAGAUACGGCACAGACUCCUACGGGAGGCAGCAGUGGGGAAUAGUGCAAAAUGGGCGGAAGCCUGAUGCAGCAAAGCAGCGUGCGGGAUGACGGCAUUCGGGUUGUAAACCGCUUUCGCCUGUGACGAAGCGUGAGUGACGGUAAUGGGUAAAGAAGCACCGGCUAACUACGUG
rnacentral:rRNA from 1 species